rnacentral:sRNA from 1 species
GAGAGAAUUGCAAAUUUUUAUUGUAAAGACAACUGGGGAUUCUUUUAUAUCCCAUAUUGCUACAUGGUUAAUAAAUCUGGAUGACUAAAGACCAGCUCAACUUUUUGUUUUUUCUUAUUUAAAAAUUUUUUUUUUUACUUAAAAAUUUUUUUUUCUUUCAACUUUUAAGUUCAGGGGUACAUGUGCAGGAUGUGCAGGUUUGUUGCAAAGGUUAAUGUGUGCCAUGGUGGUUUGCUGCAAAGAUCAUCCCGUCACCUAGGUAUUAAGCCCAGCAUCCAUUAGCUAUUCUUCCCCAUGCUCUCCCUCCCUUGUUUUUUCUAAAACAAAUUUCAUAUACAAACCAUAGGCUUCUUAGAGGAAUAAAGGGAAUUGAUGAAUAUGUAUUACUUUUGAAAUAAGGCAAAGGAGGAAAACCUCACGUUUUAAGAAGGGAGAGACAAGAGACCACUAUUUGGUUAUGGGAUGAAUGCAGGGUAAGGACUGCCCUUUCAGGGUGGGGUGGCGGGUGGUGGGGCUGCAGGAGGCCCUGGCCCAGCUUCUCUCUCUGGCUUUCAGGGAUGGCCUGCACGGUGGCUGGUCGGGUGCUCAGGGAGACUCCGCCAGCUCGAGUGAUGAGACAUCCUCAGCCAACGGGGACAGCUUGUUCUCCAUGUUUUCAGGGCCUGACCUCGUUGCUGCUGUCAAGCAGAGAAGGAAACACAGCAGUGGAGAGCAAGACACCAGCACGCUGCCCUCACCGCCUCUCCUCACCACGGUGGAGGACGUGAACCAGGAUAACAAAACCAAAACGUGGCCACCCAAAGCACCCUGGCAGCACCCUUCCCCGCUUCCCAGCACGCUGCCCAGCCCCAGCGCACCACUCUAUGCAGUCACCAGCCCUGGCAGCCAGUGGAACGACACCAUGCAGAUGCUGCAGUCCCCAGUGUGGGCUGCAACCAACGACUGCAGUGCCGCUGCCUUCUCCUAUGUGCAGACCCCACCACAGCCCCCACCCCCACCAGCACACAAGGCAGCACCCAAGGGCUUCAAGGCCUUCCCUGGGAAGGGUGAGCGCAGGCCAGCCUAUCUGCCCCAGUACUGACCCCAGGCCAGCCAGCCUGCCUGCCUGCCCGCCCAGAGCUGUGGGGAUGAGUGUCCCCACCCCAGGGCCACCUAGCUGACACCAGCCCCUCAGAGGACCAGUGCGCCCCAUCCCAGGGAGGGUUCCUUGGGGACAAGGGUGGUUGGCAGCUCCAAGCCUUUAAACCUGGCUUCUGAAACGAUGGCGGCAUCAGAGCCCUGGAGAGCCAGCUGGAGACACAGGCGUCUG